rnacentral:rRNA from 1 species
AGAGUUUGAUCAUGGCUCAGGAUGAACGCUAGCUACAGGCUUAACACAUGCAAGUCGAGGGGAAACGACAUCGAAAGCUUGCUUUUGAUGGGCGUCGACCGGCGCACGGGUGAGUAACGCGUAUCCAACCUGCCCAUCACUUGGGGAUAACCUUGCGAAAGUAAGACUAAUACCCAAUGACGUCUCUAGAAGGCAUCUGAAAGAGAUUAAAGAUUUAUCGGUGAUGGAUGGGGAUGCGUCUGAUUAGCUUGUUGGCGGGGUAACGGCCACCAAAGCAACGAUCAGUAGGGGUUCUGAGAGGAAGGUCCCCCANAUUGGAACUGAGACACGGUCCAAACUCCUACGGGAGGCA